GUAGCAAUACCGCUGACGACCGGCGCACGGGUGAGUAACACGUAUCCAACCUACCCCUUUACGGGGAUAGCCUUUCGAAAGAAAGAUUAAUACCCGAUCUUAUAGUGAUAAGGCAUCUUAUUGCUAUUAAAGAAUUUCGGUGUUUGAUGGGGAUGCGUUCCAUUAGAUUGUUGGUGAGGUAACGGCUCACCAAGUCUUCGAUGGAUAGGGGUUCUGAGAGGAAGGUCCCCCACAUUGGAACUGAGACACGGUCCAAACUCCUACGGGAGGCAGCAGUGAGGAAUAUUGGUCAAUGGACGAGAGUCUGAACCAGCCAAGUAGCGUGAAGGAUGAAGGCCCUAUGGGUCGUAAACUUCUUUUAUAGGGGAAUAAAGUGCGGAACGUGUUCCGCUUUGUAUGUACCCUACGAAUAAGGAUCGGCUAACUCCGUGCCAGCAGCCGCGGUAAUACGGAGGAUCCGAGCGUUAUCCGGAUUUAUUGGGUUUAAAGGGAGCGUAGGUGGACGUAUAAGUCAGUUGUGAAAGUUUGCGGCUCAACCGUAAAAUUGCAGUUGAUACUGUAUGUCUUGAGUGUACAAGAGGUGGGCGGAAUUCGUGGUGUAGCGGUGAAAUGCUUAGAUAUCACGAAGAACUCCGAUUG
rnacentral:rRNA from 1 species